ACGCUCGACACUGGAGGCAGCAGUGGGGAAUAUUGCACAAUGGGGGAAACCCUGAUGCAGCGACGCCGCGUGAGCGAAGAAGUAUUUCGGUAUGUAAAGCUCUAUCAGCAGGGAAGAAAAUGACGGUACCUGACUAAGAAGCACCGGCUAAAUACGUGCCGCAGCCGCCGGGUAAGUUACUUCGAGGCGGGCGGUGGCGAACGGACG
rnacentral:rRNA from 1 species